AAUGGGGGCAACCCUGAUCCAGCAAUGCCGCGUGAGUGAUGAAGGCCUUCGGGUUGUAAAGCUCUUUUGUCGGGGACGAUGAUGACGGUACCCGACGAAUAAGCUCCGGCUAACUUCGUGCCAGCAGCCGCGGUAAUACGAAGGGAGCUAGCGUUGUUCGGAAUGACUGGGCGUAAAGGGCGCGUAGGCGGUUUUAUAAGUUUGAUGUGAAAGCCCUGGGCUAAACCUAGGAAUAGAAUUGGAUAGUGUAAGACUAGAGUCCGAGAGGGGGAAAUGGAAUUGCGAGUGUAGAGGUGAAAUUCGUAGAUAUUCGAAAGAACACCAGGGGCGAAGGCGAUUUCCGGGCUCGGUACUGACGCUAAGGCGCGAAAGCGUGGGGAGCAAA
rnacentral:rRNA from 1 species